rnacentral:lncRNA from 1 species
GAUGAGGACUGGAAUACUCAUCAGCGCUGUGCUUAGUAAUUCAAGCCUAUUUUACCUUGUUAUGAUUAUUGUUAUUAUUAUUAUAUAAACUAACCAGCGCAGGUUUAACUAAAAAAACUUGCUAACAGACGAAUAUGAAGAGUCAAUUAGCCUUGACCAAAGUGCAGAGCAUAGAUGCUCAGCCCGAGCAGAACAGCGCGGACCAGAGCAGCGCAGUAGCGCUGCGCAGCCAAAGCAUAGCAACGGAGACCAGAGCAGCGCAGUAGCGCUGCGCAGCCAGAGUAGAACAACGCGGAACAGAGCAGCGCAACAAACUACUUGGCGGCACAGACUCGCCAGCGCAGUUCAAGGGACAACUCAGCACGGGCAACGAGAGAGUUCUAUUUUCAUUACCCAAACCAGCCGAAGAAGUCAAAGUGCCUCUCCACACAGCCACGUAUGAUGGUUCAGCUUGAGACUAGAUCAUUGUACUAAGUUUGGGCCUAAAUCCAAUUACUAGAGUUCAUGGGCCUAAGGCCUUUAGGGCUCACUCUCACAACUAUAAAUAGAAGCUUAGCAUUAGCAUGAGGGACAUCAAUUAAUUCUAGCAACACUUGUACAAUGUAAAAUCUCAAAGAUAGUGAAACCAACAAAGAACCUCUCGUGGACGUAGGUCUUGAUGGCCGAACCACGUAAAUCCGUGUGUCAUUUAUCGCUUUCUAAUUUCUAGUUUAGGUGUUGGUGAUUCCGUGCUUCACCAACUGGCGCCGUCUGUGGGAAAUCGAGCUAAGGCGUGAGAUUCAUGGGUUCUGGUUACUGUUCAUCGAGUAAAGGGGAAAAGAUACUGUUCAUCGGAGAAGAUACUGUUCACCAGAUUCGGAAAUAGGAAGAUUGCGAGUAUAAUCUGGUGGAAUGAACAAAAUCGAAAAAAAAUCGACUCUUAUCUUGGGGCAACAGACUGCACGUCGCCGCCGCGUGCUACCCACCAUCACGCCACUCCAGAACGAAAGAAGACCUGACCAAACCCCUAGGUCGAGGAUGGUCGAGGAUCCGCUGUGCGACCGCGCCGUCACAGCACACCGUCGCCGCGCGCACCGCCGGUGACAGCCCUGGGUCCGAUUUCCUCAAUUGGGGGCCGAGAAGGGCUCUGAUAGUGCUCGGACCUAAGGAACAAAAUCCUUCGUCUUCUCGCCCGUUACCAGAUGCUGAAGCUACGUAGCGCACUGAUCCCCGCCGGAAUCGCACCGAUCUCUGUCGGAAUUACUCUGCUGAGGGGUUUCUCCAAUUCGAUAGGGGAAAUUUUCGUUUACCAGCAAUUUUUCCAAUCCUUUUCAUGCUAGAAUUAGUCCUUCAGUUUCGUGUACUUAUUGCAAUCAUAAUCUCUUAUGAUCUCAUUCGAUUCGUUUUUAUGCAAGGGUAACAAGUUUUCUGUCAACAAGCACAGAGACUCAUGAAGAGGCGUUAGGGGCUGAUAUGGGGAAAAGGACCAGAGCUCCUAAUUGAAAUUGAGGGAUUGAUUUCUUCGGGUUAGAGGCGUGAUUCACCGGAAAAUCUUCGAUAAUCAAAGCCCUAAUCCACGUCAAAUUCGUCGUCGCCUACUGGAGCCUCCAGUGAGCCGCGUCCUCUCGCCCGUUUUCAGCCGGGUUACUAGUCCAGGAACAGAGCACAGCCAUCCAUCUUUCGCUAACAGACGAUCAGUUAACGUAGCUGCCCCCGGCUCUUGACGCCAUUAAAAAGACAGGGGUUAAAGCUAAUCAGCGACAUUCCUCACAGAUAUCUUGCCUUCUCAGUCCCAUUUUCUAGAACCCACCAUCCCUCCGAUGGUGUCGAAGCUCCGCAGCCCGCCAGAAUCGUGUUGAUCUUUGAUGCAACUACGCUGAGGGAAGAUUUUUAUUUAUCGGCGAUUUUCUCAAUAUGUUUCAUGUUGAACUGAGUCCCCAAAUUUUGUUUGCUAGUCUUGCUAAUCUCUUGUGAUCUUGCUAUAAUUUUCUAUGAUUCUAUUCUAAUUUUGAGUUUAAAGAUUGUUGUGAUUCGGCCUUGGAAGUUAAAUGCUUAAUUGUGAUUCUUGGUUUAUUAAUGAUUCUGGACAUUGUACUUGACAUCAAUUUGCUAUUACUGAAUGAAUUUUUGGGGUGCUUGAUAGUGAUUAUUUUCAAUGAUUCAUAUCAUGAUGCUAGUCCUACUGCUUGACAUUGCUAUGGUUUUCUUCUGGUUCCGGGCUUGAUAUAGCCGCGGUUUGGCUCAAAGUUUGGACUGAUGGCUAUGAUUUGGCUUUGAUCUUAGCUCAACACUGAAGAAGACAGCGCAGGCGAGGGCCUUUGAGGGCAGCGCAGGUAUGGCGGUCAUCCUCGAGGGCAGCGCAGUACGGUAGUCUUCGAGGGCAGUGCGGGUUCACAAGGAAGAUUCGGUCUUGCUGCUCAGCCCGGGAAGAAAUUCUCAAUAUUCAGCGCAGGUUCAUGGGCUCAUGGAGACGCACGAGAGGGCAACCUCAUUUGCGCGAUUAAGGAGAAGCUCCAGCGCAGCUCUUAGCAUCUGAAUUCCGGCGCAGCUCCUUUCCUUUUUUCUCUCUUUUAACUUUUAUUUAUGCUGCUGAUUUCUUUCACCAGGAUUUGGUUAAUCUUUGGCCGUAGAGGCAGAUUUUCGCUGGGAUUGUUGCUCAAUUUAACAUUACUAAUGUUUCUUUGAUAAUUAUUGCUAAUAUUUUUCUUUUGGAAUUUGUACUUGAGGGUGGGAAUCUGAAUAACAGAUCAUGAAGCUGGUACCGCAAGACGUAUGUAAGUCUUCCCCCAAAGGGGUCCAACAAGCCGUUGGGAUCCGAGGUUGGAAAUUUGGGAAUCACGAAAAUAGAGCCCUGAAGGCCAACGAGUUUGGACAUUCUGAGAUUAAUUUAUAGCUAACGCAGGGAAUGAGAGGGCAGUUCACCAACUGCGCUGAUGCAGCGCAAGUAGGGAGAGGUGUAGUUCAUCAGCUCGCCGAAGCAGCGCAGGGAGGGAGAGGGUAGUUCAUUUCGCUUGCAGCGCUGCAUCAAAAAUAUUGCAUUGUUUUCAGGGAAUUUUUGGAUCCGAAGGGCAGCGUAGCUGCUUGGGGUGAACGGGCCUGCGCAGGAUUUUUUUUGACGCUAGGGGAUUUCAGUCCUGCACAGGGUUCUCUCAACACAGCGGGAUUCCAGCUCUGCCGUUUCAAAAAUCCUGAUAUUUCAGGAUUAAUUUUUCUUUAAAUGGGGAUUGCAUCUACUGAUUUGGGGUUAUCCAUGUCUCGUNUUUUAGACUGACUUUGCUCUACUUUUCUUUACAAAUUUAGGGCUGCGCAGGGCAUUUUUCGUGGAGGGAGUGCAACGUUUUCCAGGGAAUCUAUUGGAAAUGCUGUCUUCUUUAACACUCAUAAGUAUGUGCGCUAUUACAUGCAUAAACCACUCAGCCUUCAAUUUGGGCAAGGGCCGGGGUUUCGAGCAGCGCAGGUUGGAAGAUACACCGAAGGGCAGCGCAGCUGCCUUGAGUAAAUGGCAGCAUGGAUUAAACCAAUUGCCGCGUUUAGAGUCACCCUAUCAAUCUAUCAUAAUGAUGAAUAAUUUUUUACUGAUUUUGGGGUUGAUUUUUUCGUUCAAAUAUAUUGAUAUUAUUCGUUGAAUAUGCCAUUUGAAUUUCAAUAACUGAAUCUGGGAUUGUGCCAAUAUCUCUUACCUUAUUUGGGUACUUAGUAAGUUGAUGAAAUCGUGAAUUUUUAACUUGGGAUUCAAUUGAAUUUGCAGCGCAUUUUCUUGUGAAAAUGGAUCAUGGUUGGGGUAAAUGAAAUGUAAUUGUUGUUAUUGCUGAUAUCUUGUUGUGGUGGAAUUCAACUCUUAAAUCUGGACAGGACCAAACGAAUGAUGAUUUAAAAUUUAUUUCUUAUUCAUAUGAGAAUAUGUUACGAAGUUGAAAACUAAUUGUGAUUGUUCGUUGAUGAAUGCGAGGAUCAUGCGAAGGAAGAUACAACAGCAAAGGAAACGGAUGAAUUAGUGGAAUAACAAAGAUCAAGUAAAAUUAUUAAGCUGCGCAGGAAUGAAAGCAAGAAGAGUUACUAAAGCUGCGCUGCAUAAUUUUCUAAGCGGUGCUGCGGGAUAUCUAAGCUGGUCUUCAACACAGGAACUCUACAUCCCAGCACAGAAUGUCUAAGCCGUAAUGUAACAAAGGUAACCCACUAACUAGUGGUGAUCCAGGUACUUCGCAGGCCUAUAAUUUCUCACUACAUGAUCUUAGAACAUUUCAUCGAAGCAUGUAAGCAUGAUUGAGAUUUGAAAAAUGUUAUACUUUACCACUUGAGAAAAAUCAUGAUUUAUAUUAUGUCUUGGAAGCUGCACAACUUCUGCAUAUGUGCCUAGGGUUGAAAUAUGAAUUGACUAAAUAUACGAAGCUGCACAACUUCUGCAUAUGUGCUAGAGCCUGGAACAUAAUUUAGAUAACAUACUUUGGGACCAUAGAGUCAUACUAGCCCUGUCACUAGCAUCACAAGUAGGAACACCAAUCACAAGCAUACACAUAACAUGUUUAUUUAAAUCACGCACAUGUUACCAAGAGGGAGGGAGUAGGGUAUAUAUGUUGCCAUCUGUAUUUUUCCUGAAAAUUUGCAGCUUGAUCAAUAAUGGUUGACAACACUGGAAAACCUGCUUCGGUAGAAAAUGAGCUUUAGUGGCAAUUCAGCCACGCUACGGAGGGGAAAGCGUUAAGUGGAAUUUGGGUCUUCUCAGCGCAGUCAGGACAUUUAUCUCAGCGCAGCCAUCUCAGUUAUCUCAGCUAUCUCAGCGCAGCCAUGUCAGUUAUCUCAGCUACCUCAGGGCAGCUACCUCAGCGCAGCUAUCUUAGAGCAGCUAUCUAGUUAUCUCAGCUACCUCUGCGCAGCUAUCUCAGCGCAGCCAUCUCAGUUAUCUCAGCUAUCUCAGGGCAGCUACCUCAGCGCAGCUAUCUCAGAGCAGCUAUCUCAGUUAUCUCAGCUACCUCAGGGCAGCCACCUCAGUGCAAUUAUCUCAGCGCAGCUAUCUCAGUUAUCUCAGUAGUUUUCAGCGCAGAAUGUCCGAGCCGUUGUCAGUUCAGAAUGUCUAUGCUCCGCGCAGGAAUAUCGUAAGCCGCGAAAGUUAGACAGGGUUCUUUGAUUGUCUAUGCUCCGCGCAGGAAUAUCGUAAGCCGCGAAAGUUAGACAGGGGUGUACCAUCUUGAGGGCCGCUUCGGCGGGGGUGUACCAUCUUGAGGGCCGCUUCGGCGGAAGUGUAANNNNNNNNNNNNNNNNNNNNNNNNNNNNNNNNNNNNNNNNNNNNNNNNNNNNNNNNNNNNNNNNNNNNNGCGCAGGAAUGAAAGCAAGAAGAGUUACUAAAGUUGCGCUGCAUAAUUUUCUAAGCGGUGCUGUGGGAUAUCUAAGCUGGUCUUCAACACAGGAACUCUACAUCCCAGCACAGAAUGACUAGAGAAAGAAACAAAGGUAACACACGAACGAGUGGAGAUACAGGUACUUCGCAGAACUGAAAUUUCUCACUACAUGAUCUUAAGUAUUUUAUCGAAGCAUGAAAGCAUGAUUAAGAUUUGGGAAAUGUUAUACUUUACCACUUGAGAAAAAUCACGAUUUAUAUUAUCUCUUGAAGGGAUUUAUGAAUUUGAUAUUAUGUCUUUGAAGCUGCACAACUUCUGCAUAUGUGCCUAGGGUUGAAAUAUGAAUUGACUAAGUAUACGAAGCUGCACACCUUCUGCAUAUGUGCUAAGGGCUUGGAACAUAAUUUGGAUAACAUACUUUGAGAUCAUAGUAGGAACACUAACCACAAGCAUACACAUAACAUGUUUUGUUGAAUCAUGCACAUGUUACCAAGAGGGAGGGAGUAGGGUAUAUGUUGCCUUCUGUAUUUUUCUUGAAAAUUUACAGAACAUCAAUAAUGGUUGACAAUGCUGGAAAACCUGCUUCGGCAGAAAAUGAGCUUUAGUGGCAAUUCAGCCACGCUUCGGAGGGGAAAGCCUUAAGUAGAAUUUGGGUCUUCUCAGCACAGUCAGGAUAUUUAUCUCAGCUACCUCAGCAUAGCUAUCUCAGCGCAGUCAGGGCAAUAUCUCGGCUACCUCAGCGCUAACUAUCUCAGUCGUAGUCAGGGUAGUUACUCAGCUACCUCAGGCAGCUACCUCAGCGCAGUUAUCUCAGCGCAGUCAGGACAUUUAUCUCAGCUACCUCAGCGCAGUUAUCUCAGCGCAGUCAGGACAUCUAUCUCAGCUACCUCAGGGCGGCUAUCUCAGCGCAACUAUCUCAGUUAUCUCAGUAGUUUUCAGCGCAGAAUGUCCGAGCCGUUGUCAGUUCAGAAUGUCUAUGCUCCGCGCAGGAAUAUCGUAAGCCGCGAAAGUUAGACAGGGUUCUUUGAUUGUCUAUGCUCCGCGCAGGAAUAUCGUAAGCCGCGAAAGUUAGACAGGGGUGUACCAUCUUAAGGGCCGCGUUGCGGGGGUGUACCAUCUUAAGGGCCGCGUUGCGGAAGUGUAAUCUUAAGGGCCGCGUUGCGGAAGUGUACCAUCUUAAGGGCCGCGUUGCGGAAGUGUAAUCUUAAGGGCCGCGCUGCGGAAAUGUACCAUCUUAAGGGCCGCGCUGCGGAAAUGUAAUCUUAAGGGCCGCGUUGCGGAAAUGUACCAUCUUAAGGGCCGCUAUGCGGAAGUGUAUCAUCUUUGUCAGUGCAGGUAGUGCAGCGCAGUCAGCGCGGGGUUGUCAGCGCAGUCGGUGCAGCGCAGUCAGCGCGAGGUUGUCAACACAGAUCACUUGAGUCUUCCCAGCACAGGUUAUCUAAGCCCUUAUUAUCUUUAAUGAUGUUCGACGAAUCAAAAGGAAUAAUUACUAUCUCUUUUAUCUCAGCUUAUUUCCAGCAUUAAAAUACUGUCUUUAUCAUUUUUGCAAAGAUUGACAGUUCUUGUCUAAUAAGUCGCAGGGAAUCGUAUAUGCUUAAUUGACACGGGAGAGCAGCACAUCGCUGACUUCACACCACACACCCCUAGUUGAACAAAGAGAACGCUGUUCAACUAGACCAGGGGGGGAGUAGCUGAUGAGGACUGGAAUACUCAUCAACGAUGUGCUUAAUAAUCCAAGCCUAUUUUACCUUGUUAUGAUUAUUGUUAUUAUUAUUAUAUAAACUAACCAGCGCAGGUUUAACUAAAGACUCGGGAUAAUAAAUGAAUACGAAGAGCCUGCGCAGUCGAGAGGUGCCAACGCAGUCGAAGAUGCCUAAAGAGCCCGCUUCACCAGAGACGACAUGCCAGAGCAGAGCAGCGCGGCAGAGCUGCGCAGCCAGAGCAGAGCAACGCGGACCAGAGCAGCGUAGAGCUGCGCAGCCAGAGCAGAGCAACGCGGACCAGAGCAGCGUAGAGCUGCGCAGCUAGAGCAGAACAGCGCAGACCAGAGCCGCGCAGCACAGCAGCGUAGAGCAGCGCAGCCAAAGUGCCUUUCCACGCAGCUACGUAUGAUAGUUCAACUUCGGGAAUAAGACCAUUGUACUGAGCUUUGGGCCCAAUUGACUAGAUGAGUGGGCUUUUAGAAUUAGGGUUUGCUCACAAACUAUAAAUAGCACAUCUAUUGGA